rnacentral:rRNA from 1 species
AGAAUCAACGCUGGCGGCGUGCCUAACACAUGCAAGUCGCACGAGAAAGGGGAGCAAUCCCUGAGUACAGUGGCGCACGGGUGAGUAACACGUGAAUAAUCUACCUCCGAGUGGGGAAUAACUGAGAGAAAUCUUAGCUAAUACCGCAUAACACUUACGAGUCAAAGCAGCAAUGCGCUUGGAGAGAGUUCGCGGCCGAUUAGUUAGUGGCGGGUAAUGGCCCACCAAGCGAUGAUCGGUA